rnacentral:rRNA from 1 species
UACGGAGGAUGCGAGCGUUAUCCGGAUUUAUUAGGUUUAAAGGGUGUGUAGGCGGAAUUAUAAGUCAGCGGUGAAAUGCCACAGCUUAACUGUGGAACUGCCAUUGAUACUGUUAUUCUUGAAUGUAGUUGAAGUAGGCGGAAUGUGUAAUGUAGCGGUGAGAUGCUUAGAUAUUACACAGAACACCAAUUGCGUAGGCAGCUUACUAAGCUAUUAUUGACGCUGAGGCACGAAAGCGUGGGGAGCAAACAGG